UGAAGAACGCAGCGAAAUGCGAUACGUAGUGUGAAUUGCAGUAUGUGAACCAUCGAAGUUUUGAACGCACCUUGCGCCAGCGGCUUCGGCCAACGGCAUGUCUGCCUCAGCGUC
rnacentral:rRNA from 1 species